AAGCAAAGACUAUUGUAAAGGGGAUACUCAGUUGGUUUUAUAUGUUCUGUUAUGUAAGAAGAUGACUUACUGUGUAAAGGAAGUCAACUAGAAAUGAAUAACUGCUUAUAUGAAACCAUUUAGUUUUAAGGUAUCAUUGUACCAGACCUUUUAUAAACACAUUUCCAGAGCUAAAUUCCAUAGGACUUUACAGUGUCAAAAUUAUACACUUAGUUUUAAACUUUUCAGAGAACAUGGUAUUUAAUAUGUUUCACCUCUUCUAUUUUUAGUUAAAAAUCCUUCCAAGGCAGUUUACUUUUAUGAUAAUUUACCAAAAAGGCAACAGAACACGUCUGCUGAGGCACAUUGCUGUGUGGGAUGGCAAAGAGAUCAAGGUAACAGGCACUUACACUGGACUCUUCCCAAAGUUGCCCGGAGGUCACGAUGUUCAGGAUAUCAGUGUCAUCUUCUCUGAAGUUUGGAAGAGACCGUACAAACUACAGAGCUGCCAUUGCCCACCCAUUUAAUUACACUCUGAAGCAACUGGAGGUCCAUUCCCUGUCAAAAAGAAGAGGCAGAAAGUACAACCAGCAGGUGAGAUCAUGAGAAAGGGCUGCAAAAUACAAAGCUGUAGUAUUACUGUGUAUUUAUGUUAGUGUGCCUUUCUGAACUGCAGAACCAC
rnacentral:lncRNA from 1 species